rnacentral:ncRNA from 1 species
ACAAAACCCGCGCUGUGUAUGCAGCGCGGGUUUUUCUUAUGCGUUAUCCUGGAACUUUGGCGAUGGGGCCGGGAGGGCCAAGCGUAUCAUCGAUCUGUCGGUCGGUAUGGUAAGUGACGCAAGCUGUAUGGUAAGUGACGCAAGCUGAAAGAAGAGCGCUGAACAGCAGAAAAAAUACCGAUAGAAACAAUCUGCGUCCGAUGACCCCUAUCGAAUUUAAAAUAUCAAACAUUUGGAUUUAAUCCCUGAGUGAAGAUUGCAGUCGUAAAGUAAAAGGACGGUCCAGGCACUUGCGCUUUUUUGCCUGCAAAGAAUUCCGGUUUGCCGGUUUUCCCGGCGUCCAGUUUUGGGUAUGAGAGCGCAUCCCGAAAAGUGUGAAACGGUUUUCGGAUAAGAUGCGCGUCAAAAAAUAGUUGGAGCGCCGAUCUGAUUCAUU